rnacentral:rRNA from 1 species
AUUGAACGCUGGCGGCAGGCCUAACACAUGCAAGUCGAGCGAGCGGCGGACGGGUGAGUAAGGUAUGGGAAAGUGCCUGAUGGAGGGGGAUAACUACUGGAAACUGUAGCCAAUUACGCCUACCUUCAGAUGUGCCGCAAUGGGAUUAGCUAGUGGGUGGGGUAAAGGCUCACCUAGGCGACGAACCGUAGCUGGUCUGAGAGGAUGACCAGCCACACUGGAACUGAGACACGGUCCAGACUCCUACGGGAGGCAGCAGUGGGGAAUAUUGGACAAUGGGCGAAAGCCUGAUCCAGCCAUGCCGCGUGUGUGAAGAAGGCCUUCGGGUUGUAAAGCACUUUCAGCGGGGAGGCGUUACUCGCAGAAGAAGCACCGGCUAACUCCGUGCCAGCAGCCGCGGUAAUUC